CUCAACUGGUGAACUGCCUUUGAUACUGUUAGGCUUGAGGAUAAGAGAAGAAAGCGGAAUUCCUAGUGUAGUGGUGAAAUACGUAGAUAUUAGGAAGAAUACCGAUGGCGAAAGCAGCUUUCUGACUUAUUCCUGACGCUCAGGCACGAAAGCUAGGGUAGCAAACGGGAUUAGAUACCCCGGUAGUCCUAGCCGUAAACGAUGGAUACUAGGUGUUGGGGGUUCGAUUCCCUCGGUGCCGCAGUUAACGCAUUAAGUAUCCCGCCUGGGGAUUACGACCGCAAGGUUGAAACUCAAAGGAAUUGACGGGGGCCCGCACAAGCGGUGGAGCAUGUGGUUUAAUUCGAAGCAACGCGGAGAACCUUACCAGAACUUGACAUCCCUGUAGCUAUUUCUUAAUCGAAAGUUUCCUCUUUGAGGAUACA
rnacentral:rRNA from 1 species